rnacentral:lncRNA from 1 species
UUUCAAAAAUUGAUAUUUUCAAUGACAAAAAAAACACAUUUUCGCAUUUUAAAUCGCUUAUAACUUUAAAACUAGUAACUUUUGAGCAAAAUGUCAAGAAACUUAUUUUAUUUAGAAUGGCCCAAAGAAUCUAGAAAAAAUAUUUUCUGACGAAAAUAGGAAAUUUUUGAAACGAGUGUGUGCCGCACUGGCAAAAAACGGAUGGACACGCAUAAUUAGCAAUUAAAAAACUACGGUCUAAAUUGAAGUUAGACCCGAUCACUCUUCGGAAUCUUGAAAAGGAAUGUUUAAACUUUAAUCCAAGUUAUUGGCACCCUUAAAAAUACUAAUUUAAAUAUGAGUUUUUAAGCCUCGAAAAUGCGUAUUUUCUCAUUUUUUAGAUUUUAAAUCGCCUAUAACUCGAAAACUGUCAAUUUUUGAGAAAAAUCACAAGAUAUCUUUCUUGUUUAGAAUGACCCAAAAAACCUAAAAAUAUACUUUUUGGAGCAAUAAAAGGUGAUCUUAUGUAUUUGUUUAAAAAAAUUGUUUAAACAAUUUCUGCCCAAAAAUUCGGCAAAGGGGACAUUUUUGAAUAUGAAUCCGCAGAGAAACCGAAUUAGAAAUAAUUUUCAGACGGGAGCGGUCUCACCACAUGGACUAAAAAAGAUGUAUGUGUAUUGUUUUUCACCUAGUAUAUUUUUGCAUCCCAAACAUUAUUGUUCUUGAAGGCCAAACACCUACUUGCCGCUCCGCUCAUGAAAUGCCUUUUCGCUUUGGUCGGCCGGGGAAUCACGCGAGUUUAGAUAAAAUCCCCAAAAAUCUAAGUAGCCGGGGCUGGGAAUCCCCUCAGGCCCGGAUGUUCCUAAAAACGAGUUUUCGUCUGCCAAGCGCAUGACGUCACUCACAGAGUAAUCGCUGGCGAUAUAAGGAAACCAAUAUAAAUAACGUCAAACUUCUCUUAUUUUAUUCCGCUGGGAUAUAAGGAAACCAAUAUAAAUAACGUCAAGUAUGCUAAUAAAAACGUAUGAAAUAUGCGCAUAUGCAGUAGUUUAAAUAAAAUAUGCAUGUUGUUUUCACCCAAUUUUGAAAAAAUGUGAAAACGUUGAAUUAUUUACGUAUGUCUGUCCGUACGUCCGUCCGUAGACAACUCUUCCGUUGUUAUACACAAGAAUCUACAGGUCGAGCAAGUCUCGUAAAUUUCACGAUUGCGAGCCACGCUUCACGCAACCGUGUUUGCGUACUUGUGUUUCGAGUUGCGUGGUCGUGCGGAGUUAUAUUUACCAAAUUUAAAUCGUUUCUACUGAUUCAUAAUGCUGUCAAAAUUAAAUCAAUAUGUCAAUAUGGCUACUGGGUCUGGGUGUAAAAGAUAAAUCUUAUUCUAUCUGUUCUUAAUGAGUUUUAGAUAAUUUUAGUUGUAUUUCUUUGUAAUUUUGUGUUGUACAAAGAUUAAUUUAACAUUUUCUCUGGAAGUAUUAAUUUAGAAAGAUAAUAUGCUUCAUUGGUGUUGUGUUUUGAAGUGUGAAAUGCAAAGUAAUUGUGAUAAAGUCAAGAUAAAGUUCACUUUUAAACUGAACUAAAUAAGGUAUCUGAGAGACAACAAUGGUUAAAUGCAAUACAAUGUACAGGUUUUACUAGCGAAAUGAAAAUUUUCCUGUCCUGUCUGCUGUAAUCAUUUUAUAUCUGGAAAACCAGCCAACUUAAUCGAUAAUAACAAUCUCCAGAUUGGGUUCCUUCAAUAAAUAUGGGCUAUUAACACAAUGAAAUAAGUUCCAGAAAAUCUAAAAUGGAGUGGUAUCAAAGGAGAAUUAAAGGAAAAAAUAUUCAUAUUGAAAUUAUUUAUAAGGCACUGGACUGUCUUAAAUUCUACAAUAAUACUAGAAUCAGCUGAGAGAAGUGGUCUACAAAAAACCAGGAAGGAAACGGAAUAUGUGGCUACGAAAGGCAAAAGAAAGGUUUACAAAGCAAAUGUGACACAUUUUUUGAAAUAUUUAGGAAUAUCAGUAAAUUGCAUUAAAAAAAUGUAUGAAAAGAUUUUGUUCAAUAAAAAUGUUUAUAUUUAUCAAGGAUGUAUUAUUUGGUAUGGCCACAUAUCGUCAGUGAUGUAAUAAUACAUCCUAUCUGUUUUUUCAUGAGUUUUGUAAGAGAGACUAAAAACUUGUCUUAGG